rnacentral:rRNA from 1 species
CCCUACGGGGCGCAGCAGGCGCGAAAACUUUGCAAUGCGGGAAACCGUGACAAGGGAACUCUGAGUGCCCGUAAAAUCGGGCUGUCCAUCAGUUUAAACAACUGGUGAAGAAAGGGCCGGGCAAGACCGGUGCCAGCCGCCGCGGUAAUACCGGCGGCUCGAGUGGUGGCCACUAUUACUGGGCCUAAAGCGUUCGUAGCUGGUCUGUUAAGUCCCUGGGGAAAUCUUCCGGCUUAACCGGAAGGCGUCUCAGAGAUACUGGCAGACUAGGGACCGGAAGAGGUGAGAGGUACUCCAGGGGUAGGAGUGAAAUCCUGUAAUCCUUGGGGGACCACCUGUGGCGAAGGCGUCUCACCAGAACGGCUCCGACAGUAAGGGACGAAAGCUGGGGGAGCAAACCGGAUUAGAUACCCGGGUAGUCCCAGCUGUAAACGAUGCGCGUUAGGUGUAUCAGUGACCACGAGUUACUGAGGUGCCGAAGAGAAAUCGUGAAACGCGCCGCCUGGGAAGUACGGUCGCAAGGCUGAAACU